UCUCAAUUUAUGAACCUCCUUGGCAGCCUUUGUUCUGCUCUCACAUGAGGCUCUGCCAAGUUUAUAAAUACUUCCUCUGAAUGACUAUAAAUUCGGUCUCCCUAAUCUUUCACUCCAUAGAUAAAAUCUCACUGAGGUUGCAGUACCACUGACGCUUAAACUGUUUUCUUGCUUGAUCUUAACACUCUAACCAAAUGGAUUUUGGGGGCCUCCUUUUCAUGGUUCACAGCUGCUUGACUCAAGGAUGUUUGCCUAGCCAUAUCCUGAAAGUUGGAAGCUAACCGGCUUGGAUGCCUGCCUCUCACACUGUUCCUUUCUGUGAAGUCAAGACCAUUGAUAAAAGCCAGACAGUUUACAGAAGGACCUAAAGAAGGUUAUUUCUCUGAACACUUGGCUGUACCUUCUCCAACAACAGAUGAAUUUACCAGAUGUAACAGAAGCGGUUCUUUUGUUUCUCAAGGAGGAUAAGAUUGCCUUUUGUUCUGAUGAACAGUGAAGAACUUUUAGUGAGAAAUCCACCGAAGGAAGAGGAGGGCUGCAGUGCAGGGCCGAAAGGCACGAUGGGAAUGACAAGAAUUGACAGCGCCAAGAGCAGGUGAGAGAGGCUUAUGCAGAAAUUUCCUGCCUUUAUGAAACUCCACAAUAUUCUGCUCCCCAAAAGUUAAAGAAUCAGUGCUUUUUUCUGCCAAGAAAGUAAGAACUUGUAGUUUGUGUCUCCACAGCUUCUGAUUAAGGCGAGGAUGCUGGUCAGCAAGGAAGCACCUUGGAGGUGCCAAGAACUCUUCGUAGAUGGUCCCUUUGUGGAGCAGUGAUGGAUUCGAGAAGGCUGUGAGAACAACACCACAGACUCAGGGGCUGAUGAACAAGAUGGCACCUGCCAUCUGCCAGACCCUGUGCUGGAUACAGUAGUGAGCAGGCAGCAGUCAGAGCCCAUCCUCACGGAGCCAAGGGGGAAGCCACGUGAGUCAGGAUGAUCCGAGAAGGCUUGUCUCAGGAGUUAACUGGAUCAAAGGACUUUCUGGGGCCACAGGGUUAUUAUCAAGCAUCCAGGAAAUCCUCUGCUGAGCCAGCCCUGAAGGUAGUCCGGACAAUGUGUACCUACUAGGCCCUGGUAAAUAUUUAUUAAAUGAAUGAAUGAAUGAGCCACCUCAUAUAUUUCAAAUUAUGUAAAUACCAUUGAAUUUAUAUUAACUAUUGCUGUAUAAUAAACUACUCCUAAACGUAAUGGCUUAAAACA
rnacentral:lncRNA from 1 species